rnacentral:rRNA from 1 species
UACGUAGGGGGCAAGCGUUGUCUGGAAUCAUUGGGCGUAAAGCGCGUGUAGGCGGUCCGGUAAGUCCGCUGUGAAAGUCGGGGGCUCAACCCUCGGAUGCCGGUGGAUACUGUCGGGCUUGAGUACGGAAGAGGCGAGUGGAAUUCCUGGUGUAGCGGUGAAAUGCGCAGAUAUCAGGAGGAACACCAAUUGCGAAGGCAGCUCGCUGGGACGUUACUGACGCUGAGACGCGAAAGCGUGGGGAGCAAACAGG